GUUAGGAAUAUUCGUCAAUGGGGGAAACCCUGAACGAGCAAUGCCGCGUGAGUGAUGACGGUCCUUAUGAUUGUAAAACUCUGUUGUAUGGGAAGAACACUAGAUAUAGGAAAUGAUAUCUAGCUGACGGUACCAUGCCAGAAAGCCCCGGCUAACUACGUGCCAGCAGCCGCGGUAAUACGUAGGGGGCGAGCGUUAUCCGGAUUUAUUGGGCGUAAAGCGUGUGUAGGCGGUUUAUUAAGUAUAAGGUUAAAGCCUGGGGCUUAACUCCAGUUCGUCUUAUAAACUGGUAGACUUGAGUGUGGUAGAGGCAAAUGGAAUUUCUAGUGUAGCGGUAAAAUGCGUAGAUAUUAGAAGGAACACCGGUGGCGAAGGCGAUUUGCUGGGCCAUUACUGACGCUGAGACACGAAAGCGUGGGGAGCGAAUAGGAUUAGAUACCCUUGUAGUCC
rnacentral:rRNA from 1 species